UUAGAGUUUGAUUCUGCUCAGGAUGAACGCUAGCGGCAGGCUUAACACAUGCAAGUCGAGGGGCAGCGAGAUCAGUGCUUGCACUGAUUGUCGGCGACCGGCGCACGGGUGCGUAACGCGUAUGCAACCUACCCAUUACAGGGGGAUAACACUGAGAAAUCGGUACUAAUACCCCAUAACAUCCAGGGAGGCAUCUUCUUGGGUUGAAAACUCCGGUGGUAAUGGAUGGGCAUGCGUUGUAUUAGUUAGUUGGUGGGGUAACGGCUCACCAAGACAACGAUACAUAGGGGGACUGAGAGGUUAACCCCCCACAUUGGUACUGAGACACGGACCAAACUCCUACGGGAGGCAGCAGUGAGGAAUAUUGGUCAAUGGACGCAAGUCUGAACCAGCCAUGCCGCGUGCAGGAAGACGGCUCUAUGAGUUGUAAACUGCUUUUGUACGAGGGUAAACGCAGAUACGCGUAUCUGUCUGAAAGUAUCGUACGAAUAAGGAUCGGCUAACUCCGUGCCAGCAGCCGCGGUAAUACGGAGGAUUCAAGCGUUAUCCGGAUUUAUUGGGUUUAAAGGGUGCGUAGGCGGUCGGAUAAGUUAGAGGUGAAAUCCCGGGGCUCAACUUCGGAAUUGCCUCUGAUACUGUUCGGCUAGAGAGUAGUUGCGGUAGGCGGAAUGUAUGGUGUAGCGGUGAAAUGCUUAGAGAUCAUACAGAACACCGAUUGCGAAGGCAGCUUACCAAGCUACUUCUGACGUUGAGGCACGAAAGCGUGGGGAGCAAACAGGAUUAGAUACCCUGGUAGUCCACGCAGUAAACGAUGAUAACUCGUUGUCGGCGAUACAGUGUCGGUGACUAAGCGAAAGCGAUAAGUUAUCCACCUGGGGAGUACGUUCGCAAGAAUGAAACUCAAAGGAAUUGACGGGGGCCCGCACAAGCGGAGGAACAUGUGGUUUAAUUCGAUGAUACGCGAGGAACCUUACCCGGGCUUGAAAGUUAGUGACGGAUCUUGAAAGAGGUCUUCCCUUCGGGGCACGAAACUAGGUGCUGCAUGGUUGUCGUCAGCUCGUGCCGUGAGGUGUCGGGUUAAGUCCCAUAACGAGCGCAACCCCUACCGUUAGUUGCCAGCAGGUCAAGCUGGGCACUCUGACGGGACUGCCGGUGUAAGCCGAGAGGAAGGUGGGGAUGACGUCAAAUCAGCACGGCCCUUACGUCCGGGGCUACACACGUGUUACAAUGGCAGGUACAGAGGGCAGCUACCCAGCGAUGGGAUGCGAAUCUCGAAAGCCUGUCUCAGUUCGGAUUGGAGGCUGAAACCCGCCUCCAUGAAGUUGGAUUCGCUAGUAAUCGCGCAUCAGCCAUGGCGCGGUGAAUACGUUCUCCGGGCCUUGCACACACCGCCCGUCA
rnacentral:rRNA from 1 species